GUCGAUUUGUAACAGGUGUAGCAAUACAUGCUGUUUAGUGGCAGUUUGGUGAGGAAUUGAGAUUUUUCAAUCUUCCCUCUACUGGGGCACAACCCGAAGAAAUUCGGGCUAAUUCCCCAUAACAUUGUUUGAGGGCAUCCAAUAACAAUUAAAACUCCGGUGGUAAAAGAUGAGCGUGCGUCUGAUUAGCUUGUUGGUGAGGUAUUUGCUUACCAAGGCAUUUAUCAGUAACUGGUGUGAGAGCUUUACCAGUCAUUGAGAUGGCACUGAGAUUUUGGCCCGACUCCUUUUGGAGGCAGCAGUAAGGAAUAUUGGUCAAUGGUUUCAAGUCUGAACCAGCCAUGCCGCGUGCAGGAUGAAGGCCCUCUGGGUCGUAAACUGCCUCUAUCUAUGAAGAAACCGCCUGCUCCUUUUGGCGUUGUUUGUAAUAGAGGAAUAAGCACCGGCUAACUCCGUGCCAGCAGCCGCGGUAAUUUUGAGGGUGCAAGCGUUAUCCGGACUCACUGGGCUCAAAGGGUGCGUAGGCGGGUUGAUAAGUCAGUGGUGAAAGCCCCGAGCCUAACUCGGGAACUGCCAUUGAUACUAUCAAUCUUGAAUUCAGUUGAGGUGGGCGGAAUGUGUCGUGUAGCGGUGAAAUGCUUAGAUAUGACACAGAACACCAAUUGCGAAGGCAGCUCGCUAAACUGACAUUGUUUCUGAGGCUUUAAAGCGUGGGGAUCAAACAGGAUUAGAUACCCUGGUAGUCCUUUCCCUAAU
rnacentral:rRNA from 1 species